rnacentral:miRNA from 1 species
UGGCUAGGGGAGAAGACUGGGUAGAAAGUAUUCUAUUCAUUUACUUCCCAGCCUACAACAUG